CCAUCAGUUCGGCUGGGCGACUCUAUGGAGACUGCCACCUAAAGUGGAGGAAGGUGGGGAGUGACGUCAAGUCAGCAUGGCCCUUACGUCCGGGGCUACACACGUGCUACAAUGGCCGGUACAAAGGGUUGCGAAGCCGUGAGGUGGAGCGAAUCUCAAAAAGCCGGCCUCAGUUCGGAUUGGAGGCUGCAACUCGCCUCCAUGAAGUCGGAAUCGCUAGUAACCGCAGAUCAGCUACGUUGCGGUGAAUACGUUCCCGGGCCUU
rnacentral:rRNA from 1 species